rnacentral:rRNA from 1 species
UCUUCGGCAAUGGACGCAAGUCUGACCGAGCAACGCCGCGUGAGUGAAGAAGGUUUUCGGAUCGUAAAGCUCUGUUGUCAGCAAAGAACAGGAGAAAGAGGCAAUGCUUUUUCUAUGACGGUAGCUGACCAGAAAGCCACGGCUAACUACGUGCCAGCAGCCGCGGUAAUACGUAGGUGGCAAGCGUUGCCCGGAUUUAUUGGGCGUAAAGCGAGCGCAGGCGGUGAUUUAAGUCUGAUGUGAAAGCCCCCAGCUCAACUGGGGAGGGUCAUUGGAAACUGGAUCACUUGAGUGCAGAAGAGGAGAGUGGAAUUCCAUGUGUAGCGGUGAAACGCGUAGAUAUAUGGAGGAACACCAGUGGCGAAGGCGGCUCUCUGGUCUGUAACUGACGCUGAGGCUCGAAAGCGUGGGUAGCAAACAGG